rfam:TPA: Bos taurus chromosome 2, whole genome shotgun sequence.
UAGCUCAGCGGUUAAAGCGUCUGCCUGCAAUGCAGGAGACCCGGGUUCAAUCCCUGG